CAAAGACCUAGGGGUAGCCGGCGUUCCUGCUGGAGCAAGAAGCUGCUCCGAGUUGGGUGGGUCCUGGCUACCCUGCAGGAGACUGGGUGUAGGGCCUUGGGGUCCCUGGGCCCUGCCCUGCCAGCCCUGGCCGCGCCGCUCCUGUGAGCGGCGGGCCUGGGAAGGAAGAGUUAACCAGAAAUGGAGCGGCACCGCUCCGGGGCAGGCAGCCUCGCUGCAGAACAGAGCAGCGUUCGUGCAAAGGCAAGUCAUUUCCCGAAACACUGCAGACACACGGCCUCGGGCAGCCUAAAACCUUUGGAGACCAAAAUGGCUCGCAGGGGUUGGAAGUAAUAAGGCAGCUCCGUGGUAUGGCGGUGAAGCUGGCUCGCUGAAGUGUACCGGUGCUCGGUGCUUGGUCUGGAGCGGAUCUCGGCCAUCCCGUCCCCCGGUCACAGUGGAAUCAGCCAGGAAAGAACAUGACCCAGUUCUCUGCGGGGAAGUCUGUAAGAAUCCUUGGAGCUGACUCUCAAAGCUAGGAGCUAGGGGCCGUCUCCAUUGUAUUUCAGGAGAAACCGGGUGUGAACCGGUUUUGAACAGAAUGUUAUACACCCAGUCUGUUAUGCUUGAUGCAGCGCGUGUAAUUAUUGCUGCUCUCCGUUUACAACGGCAGCAAAAUCAGCUCCUAUCGAGCAGAUGACCCGGCAGCAGUGGGCCAGCCUCCGAAAUGACAUCUGUUAACUCUUUGUUCAGUGCCCUCUUGUCCUUUUCUCCCCAACAGACCUGUGGUUAAUUGCGACCUGAGCAAAUGACAGUCUUUCCAGUGGAGAGAACUGCUUAGGGGCAGGGAGAACUCUAGCUCCAAGAAAUUCUAUUCUUUCUCCCUUAAAAAAAUAAAAGCCAUAGCAAAUUG